UCCGAUUUAUCACCGGCAGUCUCCUUAGAGUCCCCAGCCGAACUGAUGGUAACUAAGGAUAGGGGUUGCGCUCGUUACGGGACUUAACCCAACAUCUCACGACACGAGCUGACGACAGCCAUGCAGCACCUGUCUCUCGGUUCCCGAAGGCACCCCUCUAUCUCUAGAGGGUUCCGAGGAUGUCAAGAGUAGGUAAGGUUCUUCGCGUUGCAUCGAAUUAAACCACAUGCUCCACCGCUUGUGCGGGCCCCCGUCAAUUUCUUUGAGUUUUAACCUUGCGGCCGUACUCCCCAGGCGGAGAACUUAACGCGUUAGCUACGACACUAACCCCGUUCUAGAGACUAAGAAUCGCUUACGAUUCUGCUAAUCCCCACAACGGGGCCAACGUCUAGUUCUCAUC
rnacentral:misc_RNA from 1 species